rnacentral:rRNA from 1 species
GAAACUGCGAAUGGCUCAUUAAAACAGUUAUAGUUUAUUUGAUGAUGGAAUUUUACAUGGAUAACCGUGGGAAACCAGAGCUAAUACAUGCACAAAACCCUCCGGGGCGUAUUUAUUAGUUUUUACCGUACUUUGUAUGAUGAUUCAUAAUAACUGAUCGGAGCUUACUGGUGUAAGCUGGAUCAUUCAAGUUUCUGCCCUAUCAGCUUUCGAUGGUAGUGUAUUGGACUACCAUGGCUAUCACGGGUAACGGGGAAUUAGGGUUCGAUUCCGGAGAGGGAGCCUGAGAAACGGCUACCACGACUACGGCAGGCAGCAGGCGCGUAAAUUACCCAAUCCUGACUCAGGGAGGUAGUUACAAGAAAUAAUGAACCGGAGUUUAACUACUCUAGUAUCGCAAUGGGUUUAACUUAGAACCUUUUUCGAAUCCAAUUGGAGGACAAGUCUGGUGCCAGCACCCGCGGUAAUUCCAGCUCCAAUAGUGUAUCUUAAUGUUGUUGCAGUUAAAAAGCUCGUAGUUGAAUUUCUGGGCCAGAGAUCCACUUCAAGUGGAACCUCUGGUUCAUCCGCUUGGAAAGCACGUUCGCCUUAACAAGCUGCGUGUUCCCUCCAGGCAUUUUACUUUGAAGAAAUUAGAGUGUUUAAAGCAGGCUUACGCUUGAAUACAUCAGCAUGGAAUAAUGGAAAAGGACUAAAGUCAUUUUUAUGGUAGAUGAGUUUAGUAAUGAUUAACAGGAACAGUUGGGGGCAUUCGUAUUUAGUAGUCAGAGGUGAAAUUCUUGGAUUUACUAAAGACGAACUAAUGCGAAAGCAUUUGCCAAGGAUGUUUUCAUUAAUCAAGAACGAAAGUUAGGGGAUCAAAGACGAUUAGAUACCGUCGUAGUCCUAACUAUAAACUAUGCCGACUAGGGAUUGGCGUGGAUUUGACUACGUCAGCACCUAAUGAGAAAUCAAAGUCUUUGGGUUCUGGGGGGAGUAUGGUCGCAAGGCUGAAACUUAAAGGAAUUGACGGAAGGGCACACCAGGAGUGGAGCCUGCGGCUUAAUUUGACUCAACACGGGGAAACUUACCAGGGCAAGACCUUAGUAUGAUUGACAGAUUGAUAGUUCUUUCUUGAUUUGAGGGAUGGUGGUGCAUGGCCGUUCUUAGUUGGUGGAGUGAUUUGUCAGGUUAAUUCCCCUAACGAACGAGACCUUAACCUGCUAACUAGAUGCAGUUAACAUUUAGCUGUUAUCUUCUUAGAGGGACUAUAGGGGCAACCCUAUGGAAGUUUGAGGCAGUAACAGGUCCGUAAUGCCCUUAGAUGUCCUGGGCCGCACGCGCGCUACACUGACACACGCAACGAGCUUUGUCCUAACCCGAAAGGGGCUUGGGUAACCUCUAAAAUAUGUGUCGUGCUAGGGAUUGAUCUUUGCAAUUGUGGAUCAUGAACGAGGAAUUCCUAGUAAGCAUAAGUCAUCAGCUUGUGCUGAUUACGUCCCUGCCCUUUGUACACACCGCCCGUCGCUCCUACCGAUUUUGAGUGAUCCGGUGAACUUUCUGGACUUAAUCUUUUAGAUACGGAAGUUAAGUAAACCUUAUCACUUAGAGGAAGGAGAAGCCGUAACAAGGUAUCCGUAGGUGAACCUGCAGAAGGAUCA